AGCUGACUAGUCCCAAAUAGGACGAAAUGCGCAUCCUGGAU
rnacentral:hammerhead_ribozyme from 1 species